AUGCGGCGCGAGGGGAGGCAGCGAGGGUGGGUGCGCGUGUACGACCGCGACCUGGUCGACCCGGACGGCAAGCGCCGCGCCGCGCACGUCGUGGACGCCGACGGGCAGGCCGUGGUGGUGGCCAACGGCGGGUACGUCAGGGCGUCGCGGAGGCCGACCACCCACUCCAAGCCCGGCGGCGGCCGCGCGCUCGACGCGCGCUGCAGGAAGGCCCUCCGCGCGCUCGAGGAGGAGGAGGAGGAGGCGCCCCCGCCGCAGCCGGCCGCGCGGUACGGGUACUCGCCGGGAUGGUGGCCGCCGUCGUCGCCGUCCGGGUACGGGGCCGUCGCGCAGGCUCAGCCGGCGCCGGCGCGUUCGGGGGGAAAGGCGUCGUCCAAGGCGGGCCGCAACUUCAAGCACGGCAAGAUCAGCAAGACGUACUACCUCGACGAGGACGAGAUCGAUUACCUCUACAACUACGAUUCGUGA
rnacentral:rRNA from 1 species